rfam:Clostridium cylindrosporum DSM 605 CLCY_13c, whole genome shotgun sequence.
GCGCCUUUAGCUCAGUUGGAUAGAGCAACGGCCUUCUAAGCCGUGUGCCAGGAG